rnacentral:rRNA from 1 species
UACGUAGGGAGCAAGCGUUGUUCGGAUUUACUGGGCGUAAAGGGCGCGUAGGCGGCGCGGUAAGUCACUUGUGAAAUCUCUGAGCUUAACUCAGAACGGUCAAGUGAUACUGCAGUGCUAGAGUGCAGAAGGGGCAAUCGGAAUUCUUGGUGUAGCGGUGAAAUGCGUAGAUAUCAAGAGGAACACCUGAGGUGAAGACGGGUUGCUAGGCUGACACUGACGCUGAGGCGCGAAAGCCAGGGAGCAAACGGG